AUGAGGUCCGGCCAUUUCAGCGGGUAGUUCAGCGUUGUGGCAGGAGGGACACAACGUCUCGUUCCCUCCAUCAGGGAACGGAGGUUACACAAGUAACCAUGACACUCCCUAUCUGUCACUCACUCGAUGUUGUGUCGAUGUAGUGACACUAGGGGUCCCUAUACGAAACGCCACAAUUGGCUGAACUGUGUUACUUGAACUAGCGGUGUGUGGUGGGCAGACUACUGUGUGCCUCAUAGCCAGCACACCAGGUUGACACGUAACCUCCCCCAACAUAGUUAUGAGUGUCGAAUUGCCCUUUUUGGGGACAAGUCGACUACCCAAAAGAUAGAGACAGGCUUAACCCAGUCGUGGCCUCUUUUCCCCUUCUUUUUUUCCACUCCCUAAAAAAGAAGGGGGAUUAUCCGACUGGGCUGCCAGGUCUAGUCGGGGGGUGUCCCUCCCAAGGGGAAGACACCGCGGAGACCACACCUCGCCCAAAGAGAGGAGGGGAUAUUUAAGUGGAAAAAUACAUCACAUGGUCUUUCCAACCAUGUGGGGAGUCUUCAAGGUAGAUCCUGCCCAAUGGGGGAGGAGUUACUACAAACAUGGAGACUGGGGCAGAGGGGCUCUGCCCAAGGAAGACGCAGUUUGCCAACAGGGAAACGAAUUAGCGGAAGAUAUAUAAUCGCAUGGGGUUAGCCUUACAGGGAACCGCCACAUGCGGAGCACAUACCCCAGAACAGGGCUCUUAGUUAGCGCGUGUACUGGGCCGGCAGCGAGUCUCUCUGAAAACUCGAUUGCCACAGGCCUCGGAAGAAGUCAGCCAGGGAACAAAGUUUGUGAACACUACUGGGAAUUAAUUGCGCACAUCUUCAGCUCAAAGGGAGGUGGAAAGCACUAUGUGCAAGCGAUACACCCGGCCAGCAAUCCCGGGCUUAUCCGCUUGUGUUGCGUGCCACUACCUGGGAUGAAACCGGUUCCACCCGGAGGUUGUAGAACCUUGCACAGGUGUUGGGUGUCGCCCAGCCCGCUGCUCUGCAAAUGUCUGUUAGAGAGGCACCCCUGGCCAGGGCCCAGGGAGCCGCUACACCCCUGGUAGAAUGGGCUUGUAGCCCUAUCGGGGGCGGCAUAUCCUAGGCGACAUAUGCCAUAGUUAUGGCGUCAAUGAGCCAGUGGGCGAUCCUCUGCUUGGAGAUAGCGCUUCCUUUCCGCUGUGCACCAAAGCUGACAAAGAGUUCCUCAGAGAUUCUAAAGCUCUGCGUGUGAUCCAAAUAGAUGCGUAAAGCGCGCACUGGACACAGCGACGACAGGGCUGGGUCUGCCUCCUCCUGGGGCAGUACUUGCAGGUUCACCACCUGGUCCCUAAAGGGGUGGUGGGAACCUUGGGCACAUAGCCCGGUCAGGGUCUCAGGAUUACGUGAGAGUAACCUGGACUGAACUCCAGGCAUGUUUCGCUGACAGAGAACGCUUGCAGGUCACCAACCCUCUUGAUGGAAGUGAGCGCAGUCAGGAGGGCAGUCUUCAAGGAGAGUGCCUUAAGCUCGGCUGACUGAAAAGGCUCAAAGGGGGCUCUCUGUAGACCCUGAAGAACUACAGAGAGGUCCGGUGAGGGAACGAGGCGUGGUCUGGAGGGAUUCAGCCUCCUGGCAUCUCUUAGGAACCUGAUGAUCAGGUCGUGCUUCCCUAAGGACUUACCAUCCACUGCGUCAUGGUGUGCUGCUAUGGCGGCAAUGUACACCUUAAAGGUGGAAGGGGACAGCCUCCCUUCCAACCUCUCCUGCAGGAAGGAAAGCACUGAUCCGACUGCGCAUCUCUGGGGGUCUUCCCGACGAGAAGAACACCACUUAGCGAACAGAUGCCACUUAAAAGGCAUACAGGUGCCUCAUAGAGGGGGUCUCCUCUGACUCCAGAGGAGGAGACGGAGGGUGAGUUGUGACAUACAACGAGAGUGCAGACUGCCUUGGCGGUUGACAUAUGCUACCAUUGUCGUGUUGUCUGUCUGAACUAACAUGUGUUUGCCCUGGAUCAACGAAACCUCCGCAGGGCGAGCAGAAUUGCCAACAACUCGAGGCAGUUGAUGUGCCAAUGCAGUCGCGGACCCGUCCAGAGGCCGGCGGCUGCUUGCCCUUUGCAAACAGUGCCCCAGCCCGUUUUGGAGGUGUCUGUCAUGACCCCGACGCACCUAGUUACCAGUUCUAGAGGAACACCUGCCCAUAGAAAUGAGAGGUCGGUCCAAGGGCUGAAAAGACAGUGACAGACUGGCGUGAUGACCAUGCGACAUGCCCCGUGGCACCAUGCCCAUCUCGGGGCUCGAGUCUGGAGCCAGUGCUGAAGCGGCCUUAUAUGCAUCAAGCACCGACUGGGCACGCUCGUUCGUAAGGCGCGCCGUCAAGGAGACUGAGUCCAACUCCAAACCGAGAAAAGAGAUGCUCUGAACUGGGAGGAGCUUGCUCUUUUCCCAGUUGACCCGAAGCCCUAGUCGGCUGAGGUGUGAGAGCACCAGAUCCCUGUGUGCGCACAACAUGUCUCGAGAAUGAGCUAGGAUUAGCCAGUCGUCGAGAUAGUUGAGAAUGCGAAUGCCCACCUCCCUUAACGGGGCAAGGGCAGCCUCUGCGACCUUUGUAAAGACGCGAGGAGACAGGGACAGGCCGAAAGGGAGGAAAUUGUACUGAUAUGCCUGACUCUCGGAUGCAAACCUCAGGAAGGGUCUGUGUCGAGGAAGGAUCGAGACGUGGAAGUACGCAUUAUUCAGGUCUACUGCUGCGAACCAAUCUUGAUGCUGGACGCUCAUCAGAAUGCAUUUUUGCGUUAGCAUCUUGAACAGGAGUCUGUGUAAAGCCUAGUUCAGAACUCACAGGUCCAGACCGCGCCAUGACCUCCGUCGCACGGAGAGCAAGGUCGGUCACCGAGCGCAGUUCCUGCAUCAAUCCCGGGGCGGAACUACCUUCGUGCAGUUCCUUUAGUGCCUUGGCGGACUUGCAGGAGAGCCGUGGUGUGCAGGGCAGAGGCGGCUUGUCCAGCAGCACCAUAGGCCUUGGCUGUCAUAGACAAGAUAAACCUACAGGCCUUGGACGGGGGCUUUGGGCACCUGUGCCAGGUGGCAGCUCUCUGCGGGCAUAGGUGCGCCGUGAGCGCCUUUAUCCACCGGGGGAUUGCCGAAUAGCACUUGGCUGCCCCACCAUCGAGGGUAGUGAGGGCGGGGAAGCUGAAAAGAUCGGGACCGAGCAGUAAAAAGUGCCUCCCGCAACCUUGUCAGCUCUUCAUGCACUUCCGGGAAGAAAGGAACGGGGGCGGGGCGUGGCUUUGAGCGGCGCCGCAAGCCCAGGAACAAAUCACCGAGCCGUGAGGGUUCAGGGAGAGCAGAGGGUUCCACUCAAGCUGACGCUCGUGGCUGCCCGGGAAAGCAUGUCCUCAUCUCCAUGUCAGCCUGUGAAGGGAGGAGCCCAGCUGAGGCUUCCGACUGGACGAGCCCGCUCUCCGAUGCUGCGCUCGAGAGAUCAUCACUUUCGCAGGCUCAGAAUAAGAGGUUGAACUCGCCGUGAGACGAGCCGGCGGACUCAUCCAGAAGCCCGAUCGGGGCAGACGAGCAUGCUGGGGAAUGGGAGGUCCGUGGGGGGAUACCCGGUGGAGGCGGUCCCAUUGGGGUCCCCAAAUCACCCCCAGUGCUAGCCGCGCUGGCCUCAUACCUGUGGGUAAAAGGACCGAGGUGGGGAGCCUCUGGGGUGGGUUACUUUCUUACGAAUGCAAGCCGCGACCGCAACGUUGCCAUGGACAUAUCCUCACAAUGAGAACAUGACCAUCCACGAAUGCUGUCUCCGCGUGAGCAGUGCCCAGACAUGAAAGACAGUGAUCGUGACCGUCAGAAGGCGAGAGAUAACGAGCGCAACCAGGAAUAACACACAAUCGGAAAAGAAUCUUUAGAAAGACGCAUCUUUAAAAAGACGUUCCGUGUGUGCUGCUCUUUUAGAGAAAUAUACUCUUUUAGAGAAAUAUACUCUUUUAUUUCUGCCGAAGCACCCAGGGGCAUUCUCUGUAGUGCACCAGUGCAGAGGGAGGAGAAGCCGCUGAAAUGCGCCGUCAGAUCCAGCAGAGGUGAAUGAACAAUAAUAUUCAGCUCAGUGAGCAUCACCGUUCAGCUCCGAAGAGAAAAUCUGAAUGAGUGGUUGCAUACCAGCUCCUUUUAUACCCGUAUGUCCGGGGGAGUGGCAUGCAAAUACCACUCGCCAGUUUUCAUUGGCCUUUUAUCAAAGACCAGAGGUGUCUCGGGCUCCCAAGAGUGACCUCUAGUGUCACUACAUCGACACAACAUCGAGUGAGUGACAGAUAGGGAACUGGCCCCUCGACCUCGAGGAAGACCCUGACAUCGGAUGUGCUCUCGGGGGGGGGCUCUGUCAUGAACGCACGAAAGGAAACACUUGACUAACCUCAUUUCCGUUGUUUGCAUCGCGGAUGCCACUGUCACCUGGAAGGUCAAACACCAAACCAAAGUCUCAAUCCAAGGGGUGAGGUCAAAGGCUGGGAUAUUGUCACAGCUAACGAAACUUGCAGAACUGCUGAAGCGGAAAGGAUCACUGGGAACGUUACGGAUUCCUGUGUUGUCGCAGAUGAUGCGGGCCAGAGACAC